AACGGCAGCACGGNNNUCNGNNNGGUGGCGAGUGGCGAACGGGUGAGUAAUGUAUCGGAACGUGCCCAGUAGCGGGGGAUAACUACGCGAAAGCGUAGCUAAUACCGCAUACGCCCUACGGGGGAAAGCAGGGGAUCGCAAGACCUUGCACUAUUGGAGCGGCCGAUANCGGAUUAGCUAGUUGGUGGGGUAACGGCUCACCAAGGCGACGAUCCGUAGCUGGUUUGAGAGGACGACCAGCCACACUGGGANNGAGACACGGCCCAGACUCCUACGGGAGGCAGNAGCUGGGGAAUU
rnacentral:rRNA from 1 species